rnacentral:lncRNA from 1 species
CACGUACAUGUAGCUAUCACAGCCCUCACACAGCAUGUUAUAAAGAUUAGGUGUCCUGCAUCAUAAAUAUCCACGUAGAUAUCACAGCCCUCACACAGCAUGUUAUAAAGAUCGCUUAGGGACCUUACAAGUUUCGCAGAGAUAUAGCAAGGAUUAAAAUGAUAAACACACAAUAUGACUAAACUAACAUACCGGUAGUUGAUGUUCUGAUACCAGUACACUAGUCCCAGACAAAGUAUUUCAUAUGUGGAGAUAAACGAUAAACAAAUCCCAUUCGAACAAUGAUGUAAAGGGGAGGCACAACUGGAUAUUUUACAAGGAAAAAAA